ACUCCUACGGGAGGCAGCAGUAGGGAAUUUUCCGCAAUGGACGAAAGUCUGACGGAGCAAUGCCGCGUGAGUGAUGAAGGUUUUCGAAUCGUAAAGCUCUGUUGUAAGGGAAGAAUAGCAAGAAUAGGAAAUGAUUCUUGUCUGACGGUACCUUACCAGAAAGCCACGGCUAACUACGUGCCAGCAGCCGCGGUAAUACGUAGGUGGCAAGCGUUAUCCGGAAUUAUUGGGCGUAAAGCGCAUGUAGGCGGCUUGGUAAGCCGGUUGUGAAAGCCCGGCGUCAACCUGGGAACGGCAUCCGGAACUGUCAGGCUAGAGUGCAGGAGAGGAAGGUAGAAUUCCCGGUGUAGCGGUGAAAUGCGUAGAGAUCGGGAGGAAUACCAGUGGCGAAGGCGGCCUUCUGGACUGACACUGACGCUGAGGUACGAAAGCGUGGGUAGCAAACAGGAUUAGAUACCCUGGUAGGACAGUG
rnacentral:rRNA from 1 species